rnacentral:rRNA from 1 species
CCAAAUCUCCAUGUCAAAGCCUAAUCACGCCUGAUGUCUGAAGAGAAGCAAGGCCCACCCUGGUUAGUACUUGGAUGGGAGCCCGCUGUGAACACCAGCUG